AACAAACGCUGGCGGCGUGCCUAAUACAUGCAAGUCGAACGGGGAAAGCUUUCGGGUGAGUACUAGUGGCGCACGGGUGAGUAACGCGUGGAUAAUCUGCCUUAGAGUGGGGGAUAACUAGUCGAAAGAUUAGCUAAUACCGCAUAAGACCACAAGAACUGCGGUUCAAGGGGUCAAAGGUUUUUCGCUCUAAGAUGAGUCCGCGUAAGAUUAGCUAGUUGGUGAGGUAAUGGCUCACCAAGGCGACGAUCUUUAACUGGUCUGAGAGGAUGAUCAGUCACACUGGAACUGAGACACGGUCCAGACUCCUACGGGAGGCAGCAGUAGGGAAUAUUGCACAAUGGAGGAAACUCUGAUGCAGCGACGCCGCGUGAGUGAUGAAGGCCUUCGGGUCGUAAAGCUCUGUCGCAAGGGAAUAACACAAUGAAUGUACCUUGCAAGAAAGGAUCGGCUAACUUCGUGCCAGCAGCCGCCGCUGUAA
rnacentral:rRNA from 1 species